rnacentral:tRNA from 2 species
GGCCAGUUGGUCAAGCGGUUAAGACGCCGCCCUCUCACGGCGGAAACAGGGGUUCGAUUCCCCUACUGGCUG